AUUGAACGCUGGCGGCAGGCCUAACACAUGCAAGUCGAGCGGAUGAAGGGAGCUUGCUCCUGGAUUCAGCGGCGGACGGGUGAGUAAUGCCUAGGAAUCUGCCUGGUAGUGGGGGAUAACGUCCGGAAACGGGCGCUAAUACCGCAUACGUCCUGAGGGAGAAAGUGGGGGAUCUUCGGACCUCACGCUAUCAGAUGAGCCUAGGUCGGAUUAGCUAGUUGGUGGGGUAAAGGCCUACCAAGGCGACGAUCCGUAACUGGUCUGUGCGGAUGAUCAGUCACACUGUAACUGAGACACGGUCCAGACUCCUACGGGAGGCAGCGGUGGGGAAUAUUGGACGAUGGGCGAAAGCCUGAUCCAGCCAUGCCGCGUGUGUGAAGAAGGACUUCGGAUUGUAAAGCACUUUAAGUUGGGAGGAAGGGCAGUAAGUUAAUACCUUGCUGUUUUGACGUUACCAACAGAAUAAGCACCGGCUAACUUCGUG
rnacentral:rRNA from 1 species